AAUUAGUACUGAAGCCUGGGGUAAGAUUGGUGCAAAAAUCAAAUAUGUUGAAUCAAGUUUCACAAAUAUGGAAGACAUUGUUUGAUAGGAAUGCUUAGCUCUUGUGAGGAAAGGAGGAGUUGCAAAUUGUGAAGUCUCAUGAAAGUGAUUCCCAGCAUCCUCAAGAUUUGACAUCUUACGUAUAUAAUUGAGUGGCCUAUUGUCUGUCCAAAUUGGGCAUCACAGUGCAGAACAGAAGACUGGCAAACUUUGUGAGUGAAUGUUCAUUGGUUGUUUAAUCAUCAAUCACCACUAAAAAAAGUUUUCAUAAAAUAAUUAAUGAUCCUGAGCAGCCAAGGGAAGCAGAAGAAUUUUGAUCUCAUUCCCUCUACAGUGCUGCUCCACAACAUCCCAAUUCCUUUGUGCUGCUACUUGCAAAUCUGUCAAACUUUGUCUUUAUAAAAUGGGUGUAUUGUCGCUGGAGGUUUUCUAAUUGCAUACCAAGAAAUAUUAAUAAAGUCUGAGGCCCUGUUUUGGUCAGA